rnacentral:rRNA from 1 species
GAAUAUUGGACAAUGGGGGGAACCCUGAUCCAGCCAUGCCGCGUGUGUGAAGAAGGCCUUUUGGUUGUAAAGCACUUUAAGCGAGGAGGAGGCUACUCUAGUUAAUACCUAGGGAUAGGGGAACGUCCUCGCAGACUAAGCACCGGCUAACUCUGUUCCAGCAGCCGCGGUAAUACGGAGGGUGCAAGCUUUAAUCGGAUUUACUGGGCGUAAAGCGCGCGUAGGUGGCCAAUUAAGUCAAAUGUGAAAUCCCCGAGCUUAACUUGGGAAUUGCAUUCGAUACUGGUUGGCUAGAGUAUGGGAGAGGAUGGUAGAAUUCCAGGUGUAGCGGUGAAAUGCGUAGAGAUCUGGAGGAAUACCGAUGGCGAAGGCAGCCAUCUGGCCUAAUACUGACACUGAGGUGCGAAAGCAUGGGGAGCAAACA